GGAAGUGUGGCCGAGUGGUUUAAGGCAACGGUCUUGAAAACCGUCGACUGUAACAGGUCCGUGAGUUCGAAUCUCACCGCUUCCGCCA
rnacentral:tRNA from 1 species